AGGGGGAAUUGAUUUACAACCUUCAGUUCUCUUGUGCAGCACCACCCCAUCUGCUAACGGAUACACUUUAGACUACAGUUCCCAGCCUUCUCCAAAGAGCAAGCAGAACAUUUUCCUUUUGCUUCUUCUGGUGCAGUUAUUUUCAUUAUUUUUUUAAAGAAGUUUUGUUUGUUAGUUUAAAUCUCUCAUCUGCCCAUAUCCAGUAUAAUCAUAGAAUCAUAGGACUGGAAGGGACCUCGAGAGGUCAUCUCGUCCAGUCCCCUGCACUCAUGGCAGGACUAAGUAUUAUCUAGACCAUCCCUGACAGGUGUUUGUCCAACCUGCUCUUAAAAAUCUCCAAUGAUGAGCACUUCAAGUAUCUAUUGGUCUCAGGCAUAGAUUAUGUCUCAGAUGCAGCCAUAUAUGCUUUUAAAUCUGUAAAACCCAUGCAGAAGCCCCACCUAGAUAGCCAAACUGUGACUUGUACCAAGACCCAGUCAGAUGCUCAACAACAGAAAUCAAAGCAAAUCUUACCCUGGCAGUGUUGAAUUGGGAUGGGCAAUACACUAGAUGAGUUUUAUCAAACGACUGAAACUUUAGACACUGGGAAGCAUACUGCAUUUGUAAAGACCAAGGGAACAAGAGAAAGGCAAUGGAAGAUUAAUGUGUUAGCUGUUUAUCUGAGAUCAUCCCACGUAUUUGGCACAAUCCACGUCUGCAAGUCCUGUGAGGAAAGCAUUCCAACCAAAAAAGGGGUUUUGGAAAUGAAGGAAGGAACCUUGCUGUUGGGAGGAAAAACAACAGGGAAAAUCCCGUUUUUCGAGGAGGUAAGUGCCCUUAUCAAAGACUCAAAUCUCCUGUAAUUAGCUGAUGACAAGCCAGACCCUAGCAGUCUGUAUUCAUUUCCUUUCCUCCACAAUAGUGUCAUUCAGCCUCAGAGACAAGGCAGCCAACCAAGGCCACAUUGUGCAGGAAACACUGGAACAUGAAAAGCAAAUUCUGAGCAAACUCCAAGAGGUAGAACCAGCUCUGCUUCCACAUAAUGAAGAAUACAAUCCAAAACAGGGCAUCUGAAGAAGUGGGCUGUAGUCCACGAAAGCUUAUGCUCUAAUAAAUUUGUUAGUCUCUAAGGUGCCACAAGUACUCCUGUUCUUUUUGCAAAACAGGGAUGGACACAUUGUUUAUACAGGCCUUGGGCUGCUAGCUAGCACAGAUCAUAGGUCAAACGCUGACAAAUAGAAGAACAGGAAAGAUUAUUGUGCUCUCUCUGUACUCACAACCAUUUCCCUCGGAAGGGAGCCGGGGAUAAAUGCACACAACCAUUCUCUUUCUUUUUCAAGUGUGCUUGAAAAAACCCAUGUAACCAAGGAUAUGGAAAUUGACAAAGUCUAAACAUUUCAUUUCAGAUCCACUUGUGCCAAAAACUCCUGAGAAGCAAGCACUGGAGUAAGGUUUGGAAAAGGAUCCAAAUGCACAGCCGCUGACCCCCAACAAUGAAGAACUGCAAGAAAAACAUGACGAGUGAGGUUUCUGAAAAGCUGUAUUUGGUGAACUGCAUGGACUGACGUUCUCGACUAAAGGCACUGGAUCUGUUCGGGUACCUCCCUCUCAUUUUGAGAACCACUUUCCAAUGACUCUCUUUAAAUUCUACUUUGUUCCUAUCAUGGAUGACUGCAUCCUGUGAUCUCACUCCACUUCUUAACCCUUUUAUUGCUGAACACAAUACAGCCAUCAUUUGGUGAUUUUCUGUAGAAGUGCCAGCACUCCGUUGGAACAAAUAUUUCAGAGGGAAUGUAUGAGGAUAUGUGUUGCAACAUUGGAAGUACAUUUUUGCUUCAUGCUCCUGGUAUGUUAGACGCAAUUCAGCUGGUUAAUACUAAGACACUCAAGUUACAAGGCAUUUUCCUGAUGCAAACCUAAACCUAUCAAUGGCUCGAGGCAUCACUGGUUCCAAAGGGUUAAUAACUAGAAACAUUUAAUAUAAAAUACAGUCCCAAUAGAGAGGCAACAAUGAAACUGAAGCAGUAAAUCCCAGAUAAUAGCCACAUGAAGUCAGUACCUUGAUGUCUCUUUUUCUUUCCUAAUUUACUGACUGGAACUUGGUUUGGUAGUGAAGGCUGCACUUUAAGCAAAAACUCAGUAUAAACUGAUUGCUCUCUCCUUGUGUUCCCCUCCAUUUCAAAGCAGUUCUCUGAUGCUGAGGUAGCUGUGGGUUUUUUAAACUGGUAGCAUAGCGCAAAGGAUGAGUAAUUGCCACUGAAUCAGGUUUAUGUGCUGGGCAACUGGUAAUGUCUUCCCAAUGACUGUUUGCUCUAACCUAAAUGGCUGAUCAAUUAGGGAUCAGAUAUGGAAAUACCAUGCAUUAAAAAAAAAAACAAAAAAACUGAUACUCUUUAUAGCACUUUUCAAAUUUUCUUAAUACAAAUGUUGUUAGUAAAAUACUGAAAAGAAUUACACUUAUUUUUCUCCUGAUAUUUCAGAACAUCUUUGCCCCUCUUUCUCAUUUAAGAAAACCUUAAAUGAAUAGUUAUUGUAUAGCAUGUAUGCAUUGUGUUCACUCAAUUUGCUUUACAGAUUCUCUUUAGUAAUAGCAUUUUGUAUUUGAAAUGGUGGAUCUACUCCAGCAAGAAAAAUCUUCCUGUAGCAAUCUCUAAUUUACUUUUGAGUAAGCAGAAUGUAUUUGAAUAAGUACAUCACUUGAAAAGUUUAGGGAAAGAGUUUUCAUAAUCUAACAAUUGUCAUAUUUUACCUCCCAUGCUUGCAAAAAUACAUAUUUCCCACCCCCAAAGCAUUGGCCUACAAAAUUGAACUCUUUUUAAUUGGGAAAAGACCUACCUCAAGGUUUACAAUACAGAAAACUGACAGAGGGGACAAUUAGUGCAGUUUGUACCUCACAAAAAGUGUGAGCAAACUGUCAGCUAGGUAGGAGUCAGGACUUCCUCUCCCCACCCCCAGAAACGAAGGGAUUUCCUGUCCGAUACAUCCCGUGUAAGUAACUGAGU